rnacentral:rRNA from 1 species
GAUGAACGCUGGCGGCGUGCCUAAUACAUGCAAGUCGAGCGAACAGACGAGGAGCUUGUUCCUUUGACGUUAGCGGCGGACGGGUGAGUAACACGUGGAUAACCUACUUCUAUGUCUGGGAUAACUGCGGGAAUCGGGAGCUAAUACCGGAUAAUAUAUUGAACUGCAUGGUUCAAUGGUGAAAGACGGUUUUGCUGUUGAUUAUAGAUGGUUCCGCGCUGUAUUAGCUAGUUGGUAAGGUAACGGCUUACCAAGGCAACGAUGCGUAGCCGACCUGAGAGGGUGAUCGGCCACAUGAGAACUGAGACACGGACCAGACUACUACGGGAGGCAGCAGUAGGGAAUCUUCCGCAAUGGGCGAAAGCAUGACGGAGCAACCCCGCGUGAGUGAUGAAGGUCUUCGGAUCGGAAAGCUCUGUUAUUAGGGAAGAACAAAUGUGUAAGUAACUAUGCACGUCUUGACGGUACCUAAACAAAAAGCCACGGCUAACUACGUG